CAAAGCAAAGGGGUGGGGUGGGUGGCAGGCAGGCUGGGUAACGUGACUGCGACUAGAGGUGUGUUGUUAGACAAAUCUCUCCCUGCCUUCCCACAGCAGAGGUAUCACGUUAACGGUUUGUGGUAGGAACCUACUACAAUUAGGAAAAGGGGAGUCAGUGACCACUUAAUCCUCACUCAAAGGAGCUAAGUAAGGAUUAGACACUCUCAGAACAAAACUAGAACUUUUAUUGGUUUACACUCAGUAAGGUUCUAGCUUUGUGGUUACAUUUCUGAAAGGCACAACACUUUAUCUUCCAUAAUUUCAUGCUGCAAAUCUGUCACUGGACAGUUAAAUUAUUUGUAGGACGGCUGUUGUCUUACAUUACCUGGAAAAUACUCCUAGCCCCUUCUGGAAUCCUAACCUUCCCCUUGGUAGACAGAACCUUCUCUGCCCACAGACAAUCCCUAUCUGUAUCUGAAAGCCCAUUCACUCUGACAGACAGACCUUUCUGAGUCUAUUCAAAUAGCCAGAGACACCUUUCCACCCAGACAGACAGAAAGUCCCUCUCUCUAAUCCCAGGUUCCUGUCUAACCCACAGGCAGUUCCUGUCUGGCUCUUAAACUGAUGGCAGUUAAAA